rnacentral:lncRNA from 1 species
CUGCUUUAGUGUUCAUUGCACAGCAAUGAAAUUCUCUAUAUUAGUUCCAAUUCCUGAAGCAUUCUGACUUAUUACUUCAAAACAACUGAUUGUUGCUUGCCAGAAGUGGCCCCAUGGUAGGCAUGGUACAUUAUGAAAUAGUCAAGUGACAAAUGUUCAGAGAAUCUCAGAACUGGAACCUUCAAGACCAAAUGGCCCAACACUGGGAAAUACCUAAUCAACCAAGAGAAGUGGCUGUCUUCUCUUCCCUCCACCCUCCAGGAAAUGGUCCCUGGGUUCUCCAUUACUUCCGUGUUUUAUCACCCUGAUGAUUAGAGAGAUCAAAUGAUAUGGUGGAGAUGACAGCUCAAGAGCAAAGCCAAGAUUUGGACCCAGAUCUACAAGACCAAAGACUUGGCUCCCUCCUUCUGUUCUACCAGGCUGAACUUGUAUUCUCUUACAUAUCCACAUACUCUGCUUUCCAAGUAUACAUGCAUGAGAUUUCUCUUUCCCAAGUACAACUCUUAAACAUGGCAUGAAGAACCAAAGGAAGUCCUCCACCACCCAAGGAAAGGUAUGAGACCUAACUAAGCUGGCUUCUUUCUCUCCCAUUACCCCCAGACACAGUUCUUGAUCCAAAGAACAAGUACUUAACCCAAGCAGGGCCAAAGUGCUUUUACAAAGGCACAUAUGCCACACAGGUUCUACUUCCUUCUAAAAUCAAGCAUCAUGAGGAAAAGUGUAGGCCUAGAAACCAUUCUUCACCACCAUGGCUGGGAAAAAAUCUGCCAGAGAACAAAGCCUACAAGAAGGAGAGAAGCCAAGAAAGAGAGGCAAAAUCCUGGUGUCAUCAAUGGAGCCCUUGGUUCCAGUUGUACCUAAAGCCAGAUCCCUCUCUUGAACUUCCCAGCAAUGCAAACCAUCCAGCUUCUAUUUUGCUUAUUUGGGUUUCUGUUCCUUUCAGUAGAAGUAAAUGUAGCCAUGAAGGUCACACAGCUAGUAAAGAACUAAUAAAGUACAAGUAAC